rnacentral:rRNA from 1 species
UGGGGAAUAUUGGACAAUGGGGGAAACCCUGAUCCAGCCAUGCCGCGUGAGUGAUGAAGGCCUUAGGGUUGUAAAGCUCUUUUACCAGGGAUGAUAAUGACAGUACCUGGAGAAUAAGCUCCGGCUAACUCCGUGCCAGCAGGCGCGGUAAUACGGAGGGAGCUAGCGUUGUUCGGAAUCACUGGGCGUAAAGCGCGCGUAGGCGGCUAUUUAAGUCAGAGGUGAAAGCGCGGGGCUCAACCCCGGAAUUGCCUUUGGAACUAGAUAGCUAGAAUCCGGGAGAGGUGAGUGGAAUUCCGAGUGUAGAGGUGAAAUUCGUAGAUAUUCGGAAGAACACCAUUGGCGAAGGCGACUCACUGGACCUGUAUUUACGCUGAGGUGCGAAAGCGUGGGGAGCAAACAGGAUUAGAUACCCCCGUAGUCC